GGACCAGGUGGGCUGCACCCAGGCUAACUCACCUGGGGACGUGGGUCCGGAUCAUGAUACCUUUCAGCCCUAUGGGAAGUGUCAACGAAAGCCUGGGAAAUGAGGUCUCAGUGAUUCUGACCCCAUCCUCCAGCCAGCGCUGGCCAGGGAGACGGCAGGCCCUGGUCACCCAAGCUGAGGGCAUGAGCUCAGCCCCGGUUACAGCCUGCUCAUCUCAUAGUGUUAGGCUGGGCGUGGGAAAGAGGCAGCCUGUGGACACGGGGCUCCCUGACCGGAGGCAGUACACGCCAGGCAGGCAACAGCAGGCUUUCACAGCGUGUGAGACUCCGCAGAGUUCCUGGCACAGUAAACACUAAAAAAUG
rnacentral:lncRNA from 1 species